rnacentral:rRNA from 1 species
UACGUAGGGGGCAAGCGUUAUCCGGAUUUACUGGGUGUAAAGGGAGCGUAGGCGGCUUUGCAAGUCAGGUGUGAAAGCCCGGGGCUCAACUCCGGGACUGCACUUGAAACUGCGAAGCUCGAGUACGGGAGAGGCAGGCGGAAUUCCUGGUGUAGCGGUGAAAUGCGUAGAUAUCAGGAAGAACACCGGUGGCGAAGGCGGCCUGCUGGACCGAGACUGACGCUGAGGCUCGAAAGCGUGGGGAG